AUUGAACGCUGGCGGCAGGCCUAACACAUGCAAGUCGAGCGGCAGCGGGUCCUUCGGGAUGCCGGCGAGCGGCGGACGGGUGAGUAAUGCCUAGGAAUCUGCCUGGUAGUGGGGGAUAACGUUCGGAAACGGACGCUAAUACCGCAUACGUCCUACGGGAGAAAGUGGGGGAUCUUCGGACCUCACGCUAUCAGAUGAGCCUAGGUCGGAUUAGCUAGUUGGUGGGGUAAAGGCUUACCAAGGCGACGAUCCGUAACUGGUCUGAGAGGAUGAUCAGUCACACUGGAACUGAGACACGGUCCAGACUCCUACGGGAGGAAGCAGUGGGGAAUAUUGGACAAUGGGCGAAAGCCUGAUCCAGCCAUGCCGCGUGUGUGAAGAAGGUCUUCGGAUUGUAAAGCACUUUAAGUUGGGAGGAAGGGCAGUCAGUUAAUACCUGGUUGUUUUGACGUUACCAACAGAAUAAGCACCGGCUAACUUCGUGCCAGCCGCCGCAGUAAGAC
rnacentral:rRNA from 1 species